rnacentral:ncRNA from 16 species
AACGUUGAGCUCGGUCGACCUUUCGCGUCGACCCGCAAGCCGGAAGUAGCCCAUCCGCAAGGCGAAGCAACGCUCC